GCUGGCCUGGGAGGAUCAUUAUGAUUCACUUAUUCUGGUGCAAAUGAGAAGUCAUGGACGUCUGCUCCUUUGGGAAUCUCCACCCCUUUGAAAAGAGAAUGGAGGUUAAAAAUCUGCUAAAUGAGUUAGCAGUAACCAGGAUCCUUCUCCUCCACAGAUCUCAAAACUGCCCUUGUGCAGGGAGACGAUUUCUCAUCAGGCACCAGCAGCCGGAGCACCAGGCUCAUUCACGGAGGAGUCCGAUAUCUACAGAAAGCCAUCAUGAAAUUGGAUUACAAACAGGACAACACAACGAUGCUCGAAUGAACCUCGCCAUCGCCCUCACUGCUGCCAGGUAUGGGGCUGCCAUAGCCAAUUACACUGAAGUGGUGCACCUACUGAAGAGGGCAGACCCUCAGACGGGGAAGGAGAGGGUCUGCGGAGCACACUGCGGGGAUGUGAUCACAGUUUCAAAAGGCUCCCUUAGUCACUGCCACUGAGCUGCUCUGUGACACAAAGAGGCAAGAGGGAAAUUAGGGCAGGAAUUUGAUGUCAGAGCCAAAUGUGUUAUCAAUGCCACGGGACCUUUUACAGACGCGCUGCAGAAAAUGGAUGAUCAGAAGAACCCCGACAUCUGUCAGCCCAGUGCUGGGGUGCACAUCGUCAUCCCGGGCUAUUACAGGUGGCCCAACAUCUGGCUCCCACCUACAGACGCAGGGCCCUAUGAAGUGGUCAAGAGGGCUCAUUGCAGCGAGGAAAGAGUUUUGACCAGCAAGCAUCCUGUGUUGGACUGCAACUUGAAGCCCUGUGCCAUGAGACAAGCUCAGACGGACGGAUUUCAGCACUAAUCCGUUUGAUUGAGCCAUAAUGCUUCACACAAGAUUGAGUCACAGAGCGAAGAAAAGAGGGAUGAAGUGAGGAGCGAGGAAGAGAUGCAGAGACAGAGGGGAGAAGAGGAAGAAGACACAGAGGGGGCUGCUGGCUAAAUUAAGCCAUUGUGACUCAAAAUCCUCCUUUAAUAAGGUUCAUGCUGUCUACAACUUCAUCAUUUUCUCCUGAAUGAUAAUUACUUUAUUCAAUCAUGUUCAAGGUUUUAGUGAAAGCUAGCAUUGAUUGAUUAACUUCAAUUACCAUGCUUGCAUUUGCAUAGAUAAAAACUGCUUUUCAAUUUGUGAGUGGCACGCGGGUGGAAACCCUGCCUUGAUAUUUGCAUUUCAAUGUGAACGGUGAAGGAUAAAGGUGGGAGCGGGGUCUGUUCACUGCUAAGCCCUUUCUGGUCGGCUGCGCCAGCAUCUAUUUUUCCAUAAACACCCUUUGUUAUGAUGUUGGUUUGCUCCCUCCACGCAGAGAGAGCCAGCAGUGAGCUCUGUUUGCAGGCUGGCUUGACGGCUCUGUUGGGGGAUUAGGCUACGUUGCACUACAACUCAGUGGAGAGCUUAGGUGAGCUCGGGCUGUGGCACUGCGCCGCUCUCACACGCAACGAGCACAUGAAUAGACGACUGUUGGGAAAUUUCACACUCCAAGGAAUUGCGUAUGGCCAUAUUAUAUCUAUAGGCUGACGAAGCUAAUGAAGAUGCAUAUGUGUGCAGAGCAAGAGGCAAUGGAGAUAAUUACAAUUAUCACAUGUCUAUAUCAAUCACCAUUAAGUAGACUGAAAAACAUAUAUGAACCUGGACAAUUCAUCUUGACAGACGUCUCCCGCAUUCAGCCGUCACUUUAUUUGAAUUCUCCUCAACUUUCACCCAGAGCUAUACAUCUUACCUCUACAAAAGUACAUGUUCAUUUUCAAAUCACAAGACUUCCUCUGUCUUGACAAGCUGGAUUUUUUUUCCCGCUUCUUGCCAACUUUAAGUGAUAAUUGAAAAACCAACAGAUACUUGUAAUUGCGUUAUAGUAAUUGGAAGCCAUGAGCACCUAAGUGUGAAAAAAUAAUUUUUUUUUUCUUUGAAGUUCUUAUCCACUUGAUCAUGGUGAGUUAAAAUAAAAAAUAAUGAGAGGAGGUGGUUUUGUAAUGUAUAGAAUUUCCAUUUUUGCUCCAGGCCACGCAGGUACUGUACAAAUAUACAGUGAGCAAAAUCACAGCUGUGCCACUUAUGCGUGAGUAUUGGGAUUACUGUCACCUUUGUCUGCAUAUUUUUCUUUGAUUAAUGUCACCCAAAUGGCUGUGUCUUCCAAAUGAGAACCCAGUUCAUUUGCAUGAUUUUUUGUACAUGGUGCAAAUUUGGGGAUAAAUUAGUCAGUCUCCCAUCUUUGUUGGCAUGGCACUGAGUGAUUUUUUUUUUUUUUUUUUUUAACUGAAGGAGUCUCAGAGCAAUACUCCCAGAGAAUUACACCUGUGAGA